AGUUUCUUAGCUUCACGGAAGACAAAAGGAUCCUCAGGCAAGUCCCAUGAAUCAUCAUAGAACGGAUCUUGUCUAGGGAACCGCUGAGGAGAAAACUCACGCUCACGGAUGUCUACAACUCUUUUCCUUGGAGGACUACGGUGAUUGUAAGCACUGUCCCCAUGUCCCAAUUCAGAAUCCAGAACAGGAAAUCUCCUUCUAUCAUCUUCACCAACCCAUGCAUUACCCUUUCUGCCAAAACCAACAUGACGAGAAUCACCAGGAUCCAUAUCUGAGUUGAACCUUGGAGACCUCAUGCCAUGAUCUCGAGGAGCAUUACCAAAGUCCCUAUCAUGUCGAAGGUUCUCAGAAGAACCAAUGUGCCCAUAUGAUCUCAAAUGUGAGGAUGGUGAAUCAUUCGUUGGGCUCCUUUCCUUGUUAGAGGUUCCAGCUUCCGCCCGAGCAAAACAAAUAUGUACUCGAGGAUUGUCAAAUAAAUUUCCUUGUAAUGUUUCCUUUGCCCUGCAAGCUGCCGUCACAUUCUUGUAUUGAACAAAGGCAUAAGUUCUACCAGGAAAUGCAGUAAUCCUAUCUAUCUGUCCAAAUGGGGAAAAGGCUUUUCGUAAUAUGAAUUCAUCUACUUUCAGUUGUGCAGGAAACCCAAUCCACAAAACCUCACUGGGUUCUCCACCCUUAUCAUCUAACCUUGAUUUGUCUGGAUAUGGUGGAAGGUCAGAAGUAGAGUGGCGAGUCCUCAAAUCCCUUUGUGAAAGUGGAGAUCUUCUUAUCAUGGGACGGUCAUCUCGACGUGGAAAAUACUCUUCAUCCCGUGGUGGUGCUGGUGAUGAUUUUUCCGCCUUUGUAAACUCAAUCCUAAGUGGAUUUCCAGCAACAACAUAACCUUGGAGAUGUCUUAUAGCAGCAAAGGCCCCUUCCACAUCUUUAAAAUUAAUGAAAGCAUAACUGCGACCUGGUUGAAAUGCUACACGUUCGAGGUCCCCAAAACGUAAGAAGUGACUGGCCAAGGUACUUUCUGAAAGACUAUGAGACAGAUUCCCAACCCAAAGAUGUCUAGAAGGAGGAUUUUCACGACCCUGAUGGCUCUUCUCUUCAGAUCUGGGAGGAUGGUCCCUGCGAUGUCUGUCUCUCCCUCCUCUGCUAGUCGACAUCUAGCGAUUGGAAGUAACUUCAGAGAAUUGCAAUUAGGGCUUGAAAUUCUUGUAAGAGAGAACACAAAAUGAACAGAUUAGGGUUUGAGUAUGAGAUAAACCACCGGCGG
rnacentral:misc_RNA from 1 species